AUCCAGCUGACGAGUCCCAAAUAGGACGAAAUACGCAUCUUGGAU
rnacentral:hammerhead_ribozyme from 1 species